AGAGGUUACAGACAUGAGGCCAUAGCAGAUGCAUUCAGGGUGUGGCCUUGUCAGAUUCCAAUGAAUCUGUAAAUUAUGCU
rnacentral:ribozyme from 1 species